GUCAGAUACUGCUACCCCUUUCCCGAGCUGAUCCAUGUUUCUCGCUCCUCUCCCGAACUGCACACCAACGUCGGGAGGAAGCUCCGUGCCCCCGCCCCAGAUCCGCCCACCGCCAUGCGGCUCCCAUGGCACCCUACCGCAACGCCCUGCUCAUCUCCCUCGCUACCCUCCUCGUUCGCGUGCUUGUCUCCGUCGGACCCUACUCUGGCCAGGGCGCGGCGCUCAAGUUCGGCGACUACGAGGUGUAGCAGCAUUGGAUGGAGCUCACCCUCUACCUCCCUUCCUCCGACUGGACAUCAUCAAAAUUUGCUCAGGCUGGAACCGUCGAAGAUCUGCCGGAUGGCACGGCUCAGCCGCACGUUCCAUGGUGCCACGUCCGGCAAUAGCGUCUGGGCGGCCAAGCUGCCGAGCAACUAUGCACACCUCCUCUCCGCGUCUGCGCCUUCCUCUACCCCGAUGGCAGCCCGUCUGCUUCGGCUCUGCAAUGGAAGAAGAAGAAACGGUGAUGGAAUUACAAGCAGAGGCGAUUCUUGAAGUCGGCGACAAGGUCCUUGAACAACGCGCGCUCGGUCUCCAGCAUCUCCGACACCUGCGGCAAUCACACCGCCAGAUCUCCUCGCGUUGCGGCCCAAUCCCCUCAUGCCACCGCCAGCCUCGCGCUACGGCACGAUCCCCUCGCGCCGCCGCCAGAUCUCCUUUUGUUUUAUUUGUUAACCAAAUGAAUGAUGUUCUUGUUUCCGUUUAGGAUUUUAUCGUGCAAGGUGGGGAUCCUAUUGGAACCGGCAGAGGCGGUGAAGCCAUCUAUGGGAUGCCUGGAAGGAUCGCACAAGAUGUUAUGGUUCCAACUUGUAGUAACAUACAAAUGGAUUAACAGUCAAAGCAUAGCUUCUCCAGGUUGAUGAUUUUGAUGUAUUGGAAUUUUAAUGGUUGAAUCUGGAAGGGUUAAAUUAUGUCGUCUAAUGAAUCUUUUGCUAUACACUACUUGUGGCAAGGAGUUUGUUUUGAGGUAAAUUUCUUGCUACAUUUUGAACUACUCACAAAUUUGACCUUGUUAUAGACCGAUUUGGUUUUUGAUUUCGCUCAUGGAUGCUAGCAUGUCUUUCCUUCAAGAUACAGGUGCACGCCUUGUUGGUUCCAUCCUCAUUGUAUAAUGCUUGUUGCUUCUGGAGAUUUUCCUGAUUAGUUUGGAUCCUAUGUGCAGAUCUGGAACUGAAGAAGUACCAAGUGCCAUCAGGAAGUAGAUCAAGCCAACUGCUGCAGAAAUUUUGGGUUCCUAGAUGAAUUAGGCUUGUGUGAUUGUAUAUGUUUGUGCAACAUUGUAUAAGCAGAAUUUUAUCUCAAGCUAUGCAUUAUGACUUUGUGAUAUAAGAAAGUUCCAGUGAAAAUUCACUGGGCUUGCAUCUAAUGUCACAUUCUUAGUGGUAUUGUUUCAAGGGCUCGCCUCUAAUGUGACAUCGUAACUAUGGCUGAGUUUGGAUUAUCUCCAAUGACAUCGUAACUAUGUGUGCAGAAAGCAGUGCUGCAGCAAAGCAAUUGGAACAUGUUAGGUUUUCAAAAUAGGAAGAUGCCUGGACGCAUGGGUGGUGUACAACGCACAGUGAAAAAUGUAUGGGUUUACUUGAUAGACCUAGCCAGGAACUUAUUGUAUCUGAAAAGCCAGGUUCCUGGUCCUCAGUAGCUUUGUUUUCAUGAAGGAUUCAAUAUAUAAGAAACCUGAUGCAAACAUUGCUCCCAUUCCCUACAUAUUUCAUGCAAGAAGGCCUCCAUUGGAAUUGAGAGGCAGAAAAGAAAUAUGGAUAUAGCACUUCAUUCUCCUGCAGAUAUGAAAAUCAACAAGAUGUUUGAUGACAUUCCCUUACCGAUGCUGUCUGAAAUGGAAGCGGAAAAUACAAAGUGGAAAAGGAAGGCCGCUUCACAGAAAUCAUACAGCAAACUAGGACAUAUUACCAACUCUGUGCAGGUUCAUGCAAUCAUGCCUAGUCAAUCUUCACAUGUGAGUAAAUCAAUCUUAUGAAUCAGAAGCAGGCACAAAGGCCAAUUGUACCGGUGAGCACGAAGAUAGCUUGGAGCCCAGUACCACCGCAUCAGACACCACAAGUUGCUGAACCAAGAUUUUCUA